GACGAACGCUGGCGGCGUGCUUAACACAUGCAAGUCGAACGGAAAGGCCCUGCUUUUGUGGGGUGCUCGAGUGGCGAACGGGUGAGUAACACGUGAGUAACCUGCCCUUGACUUUGGGAUAACUUCAGGAAACUGGGGCUAAUACCGGAGAGGAGCUCCUGCUGCAUGGGGGGGGUUGGAAAGUUUCGGCGGUUGGGGAUGGACUCGCGGCUUAUCAGCUUGUUGGGGGGGUAGUGGCUUACCAAGGCUUUGACGGGUAGCCGGCCUGAGAGGGUGACCGGCCACAUUGGGACUGAGAUACGGCCCAGACUCCUACGGGAGGCAGCAGUGGGGAAUAUUGCACAAUGGGCGGAAGCCUGAUGCAGCAACGCCGCGUGCGGGAUGCCGGCCUUCGGGUUGUAAACCGCUUUCGCCUGUGACGAAGCGUGAGUGGCGUUAAUGGGUAAAGAAGCACCGGCUAACUACGUG
rnacentral:rRNA from 1 species